UACGAAGGGGCGUAGCGUUGUUCGGAAUUACUGGGCGGUAAAGACGCACGUAGGCGGAUAUGUAAGUCAGGGGUGGAAAUACCCGGGGCGUCAACCUCGGAACUGCCUUUGUAUACUGCAAGUCUUGAGUCCGGAAGAGGUGAGUGGAAUUCCUAGUGUAGAGGUGAAAUUCGUAGAUAUUAGGAAGAACACCAGUGGCGAAGGCGGCUCACUGGUCCGGUACUGACGCUGAGGUGCGAAAGCGUGGGGAGC
rnacentral:rRNA from 1 species